rnacentral:snRNA from 1 species
AGUGGUUCAGGACAUCUCU